rnacentral:rRNA from 1 species
ACGGAACUCUUCGGAGUUCAGUGGCGGACGGGUGAGUAACGCGUGAGAAUCUGCCUAGAGGAUGGGGACAACCACGGGAAACUGUGGCUAAUACCCAAUGAGCGGAGACGUUAAAGAUUUAUCGCCCCUAGAGGAGCUCGCGUCUGAUUAGCUAGUUGGUGGGGUAAAAGCCUACCAAGGCGACGAUCAGUAGCUGGUCUGAGAGGACAACCAGCCACACUGGGACUGAGACACGGCCCAGACUCCUACGGGAGGCAGCAGUGGGGAAUUUUCCGCAAUGGGCGAAAGCCUGACGGAGCAAUACCGCGUGAGGGAGGAAGGCUCUUGGGUCGUAAACCUCUUUUCUCAGGGAAGAAGAAAGUGACGGUACCUGAGGAAUCAGCCUCGGCUAACUCCGUGCCAGCAGCCGCGGUAAUACGGAGGAGGCAAGCGUUAUCCGGAAUUAUUGGGCGUAAAGCGUCCGUAGGUGGCUCUUCAAGUCUGCUGUCAAAGAGUGGGGCUUAACUCCAGAAAGGCAGUGGAAACUGAAAGGCUAGAGAGCCGUAGGGGUAGAGGGAAUUCCCGGUGUAGCGGUGAAAUGCGUAGAGAUCGGGAAGAACAUCGGUGGCGAAAGCGCUCUACUGGACGGUAUCUGACACUGAGGGACGAAAGCUAGGGGAGCGAAUGGGAUUAGAUACC